UUUAUUUUUAUAGAAAAAGAAAACCACAAUAAUCCUUUGUCAAUUACUUAGAUGCGAAUUCGAGAGGCCAGUUAAAAUAAUGAUAUCGUCAUUCAUAUUACGAAUCAGUCAAUUCAGACUACAAUUUUCUUCUUGCGGAUAUUUCAAGAUCAACAGAGCUCUGAUAAUAAAAGUGGCUGGCUCAGUUACCACUUAUUUGGUGAUACUCUUUCAGUUCAACUACUAAGAGCCAAGUUAAAUACCAUUCUCAACUAAAGAACCGUAUCCCAAAGCCUUGAAAAAAACUUUCCAUUACUUGAAAUGAAUGAUGUUUCAAAUUCAAAAAUAAUAAUAGGAUAUUAGUUAAAUAUCGUAGGUAUGUUUUGUCUAUGCAGAGUAGAGUGUACUUGAUUA